UAACGGUAGCUGUGGUGGUGGU
rnacentral:misc_RNA from 1 species